UGUCUGCCCACUGGAAGCUCAAAACCAAGGAAUUGGAAACACAGUUGGAAAAGCAGCGACGAGCUGAUCAGGAGCUGAAAAAGAGAGUGUUGAAGUUGGAAUUCUGUCUUCAGGAAGCUCGUUCUCAGACGCGGAAGCUGCAAAGGAUGGGAGAGCGAAGGGACAAAGCUCUAAAAGAACUCAGAGAGCAGUUAGCCACAAAACAACAGUCCGUAGCUGUGGGUAAUAAUGAAAAGCAAAAUUUCUGGGAAUCUUCCAGCUUCAAGAUUGUAGUUUCCGUGUCAAUGUUAAUCUUGGUGGUAUUUUCAAAGCGAUGAAGUGAUUAUGGUGUCCAAUUGCUGUUUAUAAAUGUCCUAAUACCUUGAGUUUAGGGGAUUUGUUGAGGCCAUUGCUAUUAGAAUUGCGCACAAUAGAGGUUCUCUUUCAUAUGUAGCUUACUAGCUUUUGUCAAAAGUGCCCUUUUUUU
rnacentral:misc_RNA from 1 species